rnacentral:rRNA from 1 species
GAGAGUUUGAUCAUGGCUCAGAUUGAACGCUGGCGGCAGGCUUAACACAUGCAAGUCGAACGGUAGCAGGAGAAAGCUUGCUUUCUUGCUGACGAGUGGCGGACGGGUGAGUAAUGCUUGGGAAUCUGGCUUAUGGAGGGGGAUAACUACGGGAAACUGUAGCUAAUACCGCGUAGAAUCGGAAGAUGAAAGUGCGGGACCGCAAGGCCGCAUGCCAUGAGAUGAGCCCAAGUGGGAUUAGGUAGUUGGUGGGGUAAAGGCCUACCAAGCCUGCGAUCUCUAGCUGGUCUGAGAGGAUGGCCAACCACACUGGAACUGAGACACGGUCCAGACUCCUACGGGAGGCAGCAGUGGGGAAUAUUGCGCAAUGGGGGGAACCCUGACGCAGCCAUGCCGCGUGAAUGAAGAAGGCCUUCGGGUUGUAAAGUUCUUUCGGUAUUGAGGAAGGAGUGUAUGUUAAUAGCAUACAUUAUUGACGUUAAAUACAGAAGAAGCACCGGCUAACUCCGUGCCAGCAGCCGCGGUAAUACGGAGGGUGCGAGCGUUAAUCGGAAUAACUGGGCGUAAAGGGCACGCAGGCGGUUAUUUAAGUGAGGUGUGAAAGCCCCGGGCUUAACCUGGGAAUUGCAUUUCAGACUGGGUAACUAGAGUACUUUAGGGAGGGGUAGAAUUCCACGUGUAGCGGUGAAAUGCGUAGAGAUG